rnacentral:rRNA from 1 species
CUUCGGGUUUGAGUUUGAUUCGUAAAGCUCUAUAGUAGAAUUCCAUUUUAUUAUUAGGGUUACUAAGAAAUUUCUAUCUGCCCAUGGUAGCUAGCAAUAGUUAUCAAUCGGGUGAUCUACUGUGAGAAAAUUGUAGUGUUCAAAGCAGGCGUCUUACGUUUGUUCAAUGCAGCAUGGUAUAGUAAAAUAUGACACUAAAUAUAUGUUGGUUGUAUAUUCUUAGUGUAAUGACUAAUAGGGAAGGGCGGGGCCGUUCAUAUUGAUGGGCGAGAGGUGAAAUUCGUUGACCCUAUCAAGAUGCACUACAGCGAAAGCAUUCGGCAAGUACUUCUCCAUUAAUCAAGAACGAAAGUUUGGGGAUCGAAGACGAUCAGAUACCGUCGUAGUCCAAACCAUAAACUAUGUCGACCAGGGAUUGGACGGAUAAUUUUUUAAAAACUCGCUCAGAACCUUGUGAGAAAUCAUGAGUGUUUGGACUCUGGGGGGAGUAUGGUCGCAAGUCUGAAACUUAAAGGAAUUGACGGAAGGGCACACAAUGGAGUGGAACCUGCGGCUUAAUUUGACUCAACUCGGGAAAACUUACCAAGCUCAGAUAUAAUAAGGAUUGACAGACUAAAAGAUCUUUCAUGAUUGUAUAAGUGGUGGUGCAUGGUCGUUCUUAGUUGGUGGAGUGAUUUGUCUGGUCAAUUCCGAUAACGGACGAGACCUCUACUUACUAACUAGUGGUAUUUAUUUGGUCACUAUGGGAGAUAGUCAUUUGGUGUUGGUAGUUAGGCCGUUAAAAGUUUAGCUAUUCUUCAUUGAGUGGUGUGUAUUCUGAUCAGAUAGGUACUAAUUUAAAAAAUAAACUUCUUAGAAGGACUACCUACCUCAAGUGGGGGGAAGUCGGAGGCAAUAACAGGUCUGUGAUGCCCUUAGAUACCUUGGGCUGCACGCGCGUUACAAUGUAGGCGAGAAAAAGGUUUCCGGAAUCGAAAGGUUUCGGUAAUCAUUUGAAUUGCCUACGUAAUGGGGAUUAAUUUUUGUAAUUAUCGAUUAUCAACGAGGAAUUCCUUGUAAGCGUAAAUCAUUACUUUACGCUGAAUAUGUCCCUGCCCUUUGUACACACCGCCCGUCGCUCCUACCGAUCGAACGAUUAGGUAAAACUGACGGACUGGAUGACUUUUUCGCAAGGAUUUGUCGUUUGGGAAGUUAGUUAAAUCUCAUUGUUUAGAGGAAGGAGAAGUCGUAACAAGGUAUCCGUAGGUGAACCUGCGGAUG